UACGGGAGUGGCAAGCGUUAUCCGGAAUUAUUGGGCGUAAAGCGUCCGCAGGCGGCCUCGUAAGUCUGUCGUUAAAGCGUGGAGCUUAACUCCAUUUCAGCGAUGGAAACUGUGAGGCUUGAGUGUGGUAGGGGCAGAGGGAAUUCCCGGUGUAGCGGUGAAAUGCGUAGAUAUCGGGAAGAACACCAGUGGCGAAGGCGCUCUGCUGGGCCAUAACUGACGCUCAUGGACGAAAGCCAGGGGAGCGAAAGGGAUUAGAUACCCCUGUAGUCCUGGCCGUAAACGAUGAACACUAGGUGUCGGGGGAAUCGACCCCCUCGGUGUCGUAGCCAACGCGUUAAGUGUUCCGCCUGGGGAGUACGCACGCAAGUGUGAAACUCAAAGGAAUUGACGGGGGCCCGCACAAGCGGUGGAGUAUGUGGUUUAAUUCGAUGCAACGCGAAGAACCUUACCAGGGUUUGACAUCCUGCGAAUCUCUUGGAAACGAGAGAGUGCCUUCGGGAACGCAGUGACAGGUGGUGCAUGGCUGUCGUCAGCUCGUGUCGUGAGAUGUUGGGUUAAGUCCCGCAACGAGCGCAACCCACGUCGUUAGUUGCCAGCAUUUAGUUGGGCACUCUAGCGAGACCGCCGGUGAUAAACCGGAGGAAGGUGUGGAUGACGUCAAGUCAUCAUGCCCCUUACAUCCUGGGCUACACACGUACUACAAUGCUACGGACAAAGGGCAGCAAACUCGCGAGAGCUAGCAAAUCCCAUAAACCGUGGCUCAGUUCAGAUCGUAGGCUGCAACUCGCCUACGUGAAGGAGGAAUCGCUAGUAAUCGCAGGUCAGCAUACUGCGGUGAAUACGUUCCCGGGCCU
rnacentral:rRNA from 1 species